rnacentral:rRNA from 1 species
GACGAACGCUGGCGGCGUGCCUAAUACAUGCAAGUCGAACGCUGAAGGAGGAGCGUGCGCUUCUGUACGAAUUGCGGACGGGUGAGUAACGAGUAGGUAACCUGCCUGGUAGCGGGGGAUAACUACUGGAAACGAUAGCUAAUACCGCAUAAUAGCAUAUGUUGAAUGAAAUUUGCUUAAAAGGUGCAUUUGGACAACUACCAGACCGACCUGGGUUUGGUUAGCUAGUUGGUGGGGUAACGGCUCACCAAGGCGACGAUACAUAGCCGGCCUGGGUGGGUGGUCGGCCAAACUGGGAAUGGGGCCAGGCCCAGACUCCUUCGGGAGGCAGCAGUAGGGAAUCUUCGGCAAUGGACGGAAGUCUGACCGAGCAACGCCGCGGGGGUGGAGAAGGUUUUCGGAUCGUAAAGCUAUGUUGUGAGAGGAGAACGAGUGUGAGAGUGGAAAGUUCACACUGUGACGGUAUCUGACCAAGAAGGGCCGGCUAACUACGUG